AGGAUGUUUGGCUAGAAGCAGCCAUCCUUUAAAGAAAGCGUAAUAGCUCACUGGUCGAGUCGGCCUGCACGUAAGAUUUAACGGGGCUAAGCUAUGCACCGAAGUUGCGGAAUAUAUUAAAUAUAUUGGUAGGGGAGCGUUCUGUAAGCCGAAGAAGGUUAAUUGAGAAGUUAGCUGGAGGUAUCAGAAGUGCGAAUGCUGACAUGAGUAACGUAAAAUAAGUGAGAUUCUUAUUGGCCGAAAACCCAAGGGUUCCUACGCAAUGUUAAUCAACGUAGGGUAAGCCGGUCCCUAAGGCGUAGCUAAAGAGUGAAGUCGAUGGGAAACAGGUUAAUAUUCCUGUGCUGCUUAUAUAAACGAAGGAGGGACGGAGAAGGCUAGGUAGGCCUGGCGAAUGGUUGUCCAGGUAAAAGUAAGUAGGUAGAGUUAUUAGGCAAAUCCGAUAACUUGAUGAUCUGAGAUACGAGACGAAGCCAAAUUUAUUUGGCGAAGCUAUUGAUGCCCUGCUUCCAGGAAAAGCUUCUAAGUAUAUUGUAUAAGUAACCGUACUGUAAACCGACACUGGUGGGUAGGUAGAGAAUACUAAGGCUAUGAGAGAACUCUGGUGAAGGAACUAGGCAAAAUGACACCGUAACUUUGGAAGAAGGUGUGCCCUUAAUGGUGAAGUACUUGCUACGUAAGCUGUUGAGGGUUGCAAAUACCAGGUGGCUGCGACUGUUUAUCAAAAACACAGCACUCUGCGAAAUCGUAAGAUGAAGUAUAGGGUGUGACGCCUGCCCGGUGCUGGAAGGUUAAUUGAAGGGGUUAGCUUAGGCGAAGCUCUGGAUCGAAGCCCCAGUAAACGGCGGCCGUAACUAUAACGGUCCUAAGGUAGCGAAAUCCCUUGUCGGGA
rnacentral:rRNA from 1 species